GUCGAGAGGCUUUGGCAAUGGGGGAAACCCUGACCAAGCGACGCCGCGUGGAGGAUGAAGGCCCUUGGGUUGUAAACUCCUUUUGUUGGGGAAGAAAUGCGAUCAGGUGAACAAUCUGGUCGUUUGACGGUACCCGACGAAUAAGCUCCGGCUAACUCCGUGCCAGCAGCCGCGGUAACACGGGGGGAGCAAGCGUUGUUCGGAAUCACUGGGCGUAAAGGGCGUGUAGGCGGUCAGGUAAGUGGGAUGUGAAAUACCCCGGCUCACCCGGGGAACGGCAUCCCAUACUGCCUGACUUGAGUAUGGGAGAGGAUGAGGGAAUUCCAGGUGUAGCGGUGAAAUGCGUAGAUAUCUGGAGGAACACCGGUGGCGAAGGCGCUCAUCUGGCCCAAUACUGACGCUGAGGCGCGAAAGCUAGGGGAGCAAACGGGAUUAGAAACCCGAGUAGUCC
rnacentral:rRNA from 1 species